AGAGUGGAGGACUGGCCUGGGAAACCGGGCAGAGAGAGGAGUUGUAGGAAAGAACACACCAGAAGCCCCUCCGAGUCCAGACACUGAUAGAAACCCAGCCCCUUCCCAAGCCAAUCUGCAAACCCAGGAGGCACCGACGAGCGCACAGACACACCCCCGGGGUGCAGGCGCAGUGAAGGGAGGAGAGGGGCAGGAGCUUGACCGUUAGGGCCCGAACCCCAGAACUCCCGAGGCAGGAUUUUAUAGGUUCAGAAAGUGUGUCUCAGAGGAGUUAGAGAAGACCAAUUAAUAGAUGACAGUGCUGAAGCCUGGAUCUCCUGAAUCUUGGAUGAAAGUGUCGUAAGUUAGAUUCCUGGGAAGAAAUUUCUGAGACACAUUCUGCAGGAUGAUUAUUAGGGCUCAUCCUUGGUUUCAACACCUAUAGAAGGAAGGCGGAAGAAGACAUUGAACAGAGAGACAGAAGUCAAGAUGCAUUUCAGGCUAGGACUCUUGGCUGAACCCACAGGAGCUCUGGAGCUAGAAUGGCCCUUCAGAGUUGUCCUGAGUUGGUCUGAGAUGGCUAGUUCUUUAUAUUCCUGCAUGGGAUAGUCACUGGAUGUCCACCCCAGGAAGGGGUGUGGCCAAGACAGUCCCUGAAAUGCCCGCCAGCACUCCCUACACCUGGAGCGACAAGACCAACAUCACAGGGGGAAUGCACUGGGUGAUGGAUCACAGCG
rnacentral:antisense_RNA from 1 species